CCCGCGCUCCCGCGCGCUCCCUCCCCUCAGCGAACAAAGGGCGAGGGCGGGCGGCGUGAGGGGGGAUCGCCGGCCCUGCAGGCCGAAAACAAGUCUGAAAGAACCGGAUGGGAACAAAAAGGCACGAAAUGGAGCCCACGAACGGUGUUUAAGCUCAGGGCUGGGAGAGGGAGAGCCUCCACGCCACGUUAAACGGGAGCGGGAAAGGCCACAGGCCUUAAAAUGCUGCUCGCAAGAGGCUGGCAAACAAUAAAUGCGUUCGUGUCGUGUGAGGAGAGGCUGCGGGAGCUGGGCCUGGUUAGUCUGGGAAGGGAACGCUGAGGAGGGGUCUCAUUAGUGAAUAAAAAUAUCUGCAGGGGGUGCCAGGAUGGUGGCAGGCUCCUCAGCGGUGCCCAGGCUCAGCACUGGGUGUGAACUAAAGCACAAGUUCCGCCUCGAAAUGAGGAAGAGCUUUCCAUGAGGGCGGCAGGGAGGGCAUGGAGCCUUUCCUUCCUGGAGCCAUCCCAAAACCACCCCGACACAAAUUCCUGUUUCAUCUGCUCCGGCUGACUCUGCCUUGGACAGGGUGAUCUCCAGAGGGCCCUUCCAACCCUCACAAAUCCGUGAUUCUGUGAUCUUCCCCUCAGGAUCCUGACAAGUGGCAAUUCUGUGCCUUAGAACUUAUUUUUUCCAGCUUUGGUUAUAAAGACGGGACCUCAUGUAAACCAGGCAGGAGAGAUGUUACCAAAAUGGAAUAAUUUCCCACCAGAACUCAUAUACUGAAACCUAAUUAAUAUUGAGAAGUCUGUGCUCUGCCAUAUCUUCAAAUCCCUGGAAUUUGGGUAAGGAAAGUGGAUCAGUCAGAAGUGUUUCUAGCACAUUUACACACAGUGUGCUUUCACCACACCUAUUUUUUUGUAAAAAUACAGCUGUUGCAAUAGUUCCUGUUUCUGA